UNACGCGUGGGUAACCUGCCUCAUACAGGGGGAUAACAGUUAGAAAUGACUGCUAAUACCGCAUAAGCACACAGAACCGCAUGGUUCGGGGUGAAAAGCCGAGACGGUAUGAGAUGGACCCGCGUCUGAUUAGCUAGUUGGAGGGGUAACGGCCCACCAAGGCAACGAUCAGUAGCCGACCUGAGAGGGUGACCGGCCACAUUGGGACUGAGACACGGCCCAAACUCCUACGGGAGGCAGCAGUGGGGGAUAUUGCACAAUGGGGGAAACCCUGAUGCAGCGACGCCGCGUGAGUGAAGAAGUAUUUCGGUAUGUAAAGCUCUAUCAGCAGGGAAGAAAAAAGACGGUACCUGACUAAGAAGCCCCGGCUAACUACGUGCCAGCAGCCGCGGUAAUACGUAGGGGGCAAGCGUUAUCCGGAUUUACUGGGUGUAAAGGGAGCGUAGACGGCAAUACAAGUCGGAAGUGAAAUACCCGGGCUCAACCUGGGAACUGCUUUGGAAACUGUAUGGCUGGAGUGCUGGAGAGGUAAGCGGAAUUCCUAGUGUAGCGGUGAAAUGCGUAGAUAUUAGGAGGAACACCAGUGGCGAAGGCGGCUUACUGGACAGUAACUGACGUUGAGGCUCGAAAGCGUGGGGAGCAAACAGGAUUAGAUACCCUGGUAGU
rnacentral:rRNA from 1 species